rnacentral:ncRNA from 1 species
AGUAAGUUUGAUUCUUGCUUAGAAAUUAGUUUUUUCAUUUAAUUAUAUGGAUAAUUUUGUGUAAAUAUUUAUUUUCCAGUAAUAAGAUUUAAUAAAUAUAUUUAUAUAUAAAUUAGGAAUUGAAUAUUUAAUAGAUAAAAAUUUGUGCCAGCAUUCGCGGUUAAACAAUUUAUUAAUAUUAAUUUUAUAAGUUAACUCAAUUUUUAAUUGUUAAUGGAUUAAAAUUUUCUUAUUUAGGUGGAAUUUAUAAGUUUACAAAUUUUCUUACUAAAAAAUAUGUGAAUUUAUUUUAAUAGACUAGGAUUAGAUACCCUAUUAUUGAUAAUGUAAAAUUUUAAACUUGAAUGGUAUUAGUUAAGUUCUUAGAAGCUCAAAGAAUUUGGCGGUAAAAUAUCUUUUUAGAGGAACCUGUGAGUUAAUUGAUAAACCACGAUAGUUCUUACUUUACUUUUAUUUGUAUAUCGCUAUACUUCUGAGUGUUUUGAAAAGAUAUUCUCUUUAACUUAUAAAGUUUUAUAUUAGGUCAAGGUGCAGUUUUUGUAAAGAUCUUGUGGGUUACUUUUUUAAUAAUUUAUGAAGAUAAUUUUCUGUUUAGAUUAUUUGAAUAGGGAUUUAAUAGUAAAUUUAAUUAAUUAAUUAAAUUGAAUUUUGCUCUAUUUUAUGUACAUAUCGCCCGUCACUCCUAAUUUAAGUUAGGAUAAGUCGUAACAAAGUAACCUCACCGGAAGGUUAGGUUAGAAUGAU